GGGAUUGUUGACGUUCGUUAUUGACAUACUUUUAGUGCUAUUUAACUAAUAUUUUCAUGCAUAUUCUUAUACUAGCCCACCACUUGGCACUUGAAAUAACCUCGUUUUCGCAUAUGCAAGACAUUUUGGAGGAUAUUUUGUUUUCGCAGGAAAUUGGGCUAAAUAUGCACUUUUUGGAUAAAUCCUUGAACGAGCAGUGGACCAUAGAAAGAUGAAGACCAGGAGGCACAAAAAGGACCUAGGUCGAUCAGCCUGGUGCCCCUUAGGCCAAUUAGCUUGAGGUCUUCUAAUC
rnacentral:lncRNA from 1 species